CAGCCGCCACGGUAAUACGUAGGUGGCAAGCGUUGUCCGGAAUUAUUGGGCGUAAAGGGCUCGCAGGCGGUUUCUUAAGUCUGAUGUGAAAGCCCCCGGCUCAACCGGGGAGGGUCAUUGGAAACUGGGAAACUUGAGUGCAGAAGAGGAGAGUGGAAUUCCACGUGUAGCGGUGAAAUGCGUAGAGAUGUGGAGGAACACCAGAGGCGAAGGCGACUCUCUGGUUUGUAACUGACGCUGAGGAGCGAAAGCGUGGGGAGCGAACAGGAUUAGAGACCCCUGUAGUCCCUGUCUCUUAUAC
rnacentral:rRNA from 1 species